rnacentral:rRNA from 1 species
GACGAAUGAUGGCGGAGGGAGGAACACAUGCAAGUCGAACGGAAAGGCCCUGCUUUUGUGGGGUGCUCGAGUGGCGAACGGGUGAGUAACACGUGAGUAACCUGCCCUUGACUUUGGGAUAACUUCAGGAAACUGGGGCUAAUACCGGAUAGGAGCUCCUGCUGCAUGGUGGGGGUUGGAAAGUUUCGGCGGUUGGGGAUGGACUCGCGGCUUAUCAGCUUGUUGGUGGGGUAGUGGCUUACCAAGGCUUUGACGGGUAGCCGGCCUGAGAGGGUGACCGGCCACAUUGGGACUGAGAUACGGCCCAGACUCCUACGGGAGGCAGCAGUGGGGAAUAUUGCACAAUGGGCGGAAGCCUGAUGCAGCAACGCCGCGUGCGGGAUGACGGCCUUCGGGUUGUAAACCGCUUUCGCCUGUGACGAAGCGUGAGUGACGGUAAUGGGUAAAGAAGCACCGGCUAACUACGUG